rnacentral:rRNA from 1 species
GCGAGCGAAGCGGGAAGAGCUCAAAUUUGUAAUCUGGCGUCCUCAGGGCGUCCGAGUUGUAAUCUAUAGAAACGUUUUCCGUGCCGGACCGUGUCCAAGUCCCUUGGAACAGGGUAUCAAAGAGGGUGACAAUCCCGUACUUGACACGACGACCGGUGCUCUGUGAUACGUUUUCUACGAGUCGAGUUGUUUGGGAAUGCAGCUCAAAAUGGGUGGUAAAUUCCAUCUAAAGCUAAAUAUAGGCGAGAGACCGAUAGCGAACAAGUACCGUGAGGGAAAGAUGAAAAGCACUUUGGAAAGAGAGUUAAACAGUAUGUGAAAUUGUUGAAAGGGAAACGAUUGAAGUCAGUCAUGUCCAUUGGAUUCAGCUGGUUCUGCCAGUGUACUUCCUUUGGACGGGUCAACAUCAGUUUGAGCCGGUGGAUAAUGGCAGAGGGAAUGUGGCACCUUCGGGUGUGUUAUAGCCCUUUGUCGCAUACAUCGGCCCAGACUGAGGAAUGCAGCUCGCCUUUAUGGCCGGGGUUCGCCCACGUUCGAGCUUAGGAUGUUGGCAUAAUGGCUUUAAACGACCC